rnacentral:tRNA from 25 species
GGAAGAUCAUCGUCCCCGGUGGGGCGGCCGGACUUCAAAUCCGGUUGGGGCCGCCAGCGGUCCCGGGCAGGUUCGACUCCUGUGAUCUUCCGCCA